CGGCGGACGGGUGAGUAAUGCCUAGGAAUCUGCCUGGUAGUGGGGGACGAACGUUUCGAAAGGAACGCUAAUACCGCAUACGUCCUACGGGAGAAAGCAGGGACCUUCGGGCCUUGCGCUAUCAGAUGAGCCUAGGUCGGAUUAGCUAGUUGGUGAGGUAAUGGCUCACCAAGGCGACGAUCCGUAACUGGUCUGAGAGGAUGAUCAGUCACACUGGAACUGANACACGGUCCAGACUCCUACGGGAGGCAGCAGCC
rnacentral:rRNA from 1 species